AAUGAACGUUGGCGGCGUGGAUUAGGCAUGCAAGUCGUGCGAGAAGUCUUUUGCUUGCAUUAGACGGAAAGCGGCGAAAGGGAGAGUAACGCGUGGGUACCUACCUCUAGGUUCGGGAUAGCUGCGGGAAACUGUGGGUAAUACCGAAUAACAUCUCCGGAUCAAAGGUGUGAUUCCGCCUGGAGCCGGGCCCGCGUCCUAUUAGCUUGUUGGUGGGGUAAUGGCUUACCAAGGCAAUGAUGGGUAUCGGGCGUGAGAGCGUGACCCGACUCACUGGGACUGAGACACUGCCCAGACACCUACGGGUGGCUGCAGUCGAGAAUCUUCGGCAAUGGGCGCAAGCCUGACCGAGCGACGCCGCGUGCGGGAUGAAGGCCCUCGGGUUGUAAACCGCUGUCAGUUGGGAGGAAAUCACAUGGGGUUCUCUCCAUGUGUUGACCUAUCUUCAGAGGAAGGACGGGCUAAGUUCGUGCCAGCCGCCGCGGUAAUAC
rnacentral:rRNA from 1 species